rnacentral:tRNA from 2 species
GGCGCUGUAGCCAAGCGGUAAGGCAGAGGUCUGCAAAACCUCCAUGCGGCGGUUCAAAUCCGCCCAGCGCCUCCA